UAUUGCUGAAUAAACUUAAUUGCAUAGUGCGCUUUAUUUUAAAAUGAAGUUCUUAAUUCUUCUGGCUUUAUUGACAUUUUUUUCAGUAGCAUCUGCUAAAAUUAUGUGGUGUUCUCAUCUCGAGAGGACUGAAACUGCCUCUGAGAAAUGUGUAUGUCUAGAUGGAGAUUGGAAAUGCAAUCCCCUAUAUUCGUCAUCAUCCUCAAUGCCAUUAGGAUCAAUUGGAUUGUUCACUGGAGUGUCUAUAUUAAUUUAUGUUCUCAAUGCUUACUAAUUAAUAGCAAUGAUUAUUGCUAAUUGAAUUGUAAUGCAAUAAUAAAAAUGUAGUACGAUAA